rnacentral:rRNA from 1 species
AUUGAACGCUGGCGGCAGGCCUAACACAUGCAAGUCGAGCGAGCGGCGGACGGGUGAGUAAUGUCUGGGAACCUGCCUGCUGGAGGGGGAUAACUACUAGGAACGGUAGCUAAUACCGCAUACCCUCAGAUUUGCCCCGAUGGGAUUAGCUAGUAGGUGGGGUAACGGCUCACCUAGGCGACGAUCCCUCGCUGGUCUGAGAGGAUGACCAGCCACACUGGAACUGAGACACGGUCCAGACUCCUACGGGAGGCAGCAGUGGGGAAUAUUGCACAAUGGGCGCAAGCCUGAUGCAGCCAUGCCGCGUGUGUGAAGAAGGCCUUCGGGUUGUAAAGCACUUUCAGCGGGGAGGCGUUACCCGCAGAAGAAGCACCGGCUAACUCCGUGCCAGCCGCCGCGGUAAUUC